CAGGUUCUGAGCUGCUGCCAGGCAGGGUCGGGCGCAAGCCACCUCAGAAUGGGACUGGCACUUUCUUGUGCACUGAUGGCAGCGUCCUGCAGAGGAGAGAGGUAAAGACCAGCGGAACUCUCCCAAAGCGAUGUCCCCUCCAAACCCCAGACAAGGCACCCUCACGGAAGAGCAGAGGAGAGAAAGCGUCAGAUUUGGAGAUGGCAGAAAGCCUUGCUCCAGACAAAGCCCGCCCUUGUGAAAUGAGAGCAGCACUUCAAACACUGUUCCAUAAAGAGCUUCAGCCACAAAUGAAAACUACAUUUCAAGACCAGUAAGAGAAAUUGGGAUUUAACUCUCAGCCCGCUUUAUUACACGUUUAUACGUAGACGCUACAGGGACAGGGAUGGUGGGGAUUUGAGAAAGCCUCCAGAAAUGGCCCCAAAGGGUUAGGGUUCCGUCGGGGACCGCGACCCAGGGUUCUGGGCUGGGGGACCCCAGGUCCUUGCCCGCAGGGAGAGGCUCCGGCUGGGGAGCACUGGAGCACGGGGUCAUCUUAGCCUCCCUGCUCCACAGAGCCGGGCUGUCGCCACCCGCCCAAACCCCACCCAUGAUUGUUGUGCCAUGGAGCAGGGGGCACCAGGCAUUGUGAGACCCUCAGGACACCCCGGGACAGGACUCAAAUCACUUCCUCCGAAGGACAGUUCAGCAUCAGUUUUGUCCCAUGCAGAGCCCUGGGCCAGGAAGCGGAGAACCCAAAGUGAAGCAGCCGGCCCCACCCUCAAGCGACUCACUGUCCCCCAGAGAAAAGGGUUCUUCAGUGUCACUCACGACCAGGAAGACGAUGUCCCCAGGGUUCCCACGGUGACUGGCAGGUAGGAGGGGGCUCUCGUCACACGCAUGUCACAGAUCCCCCCAGGCCCCUGCAGGAAGUGUGCACAGACGUCAACAGGACAGGACCUGGAAGAGCGAAACCCAGCCCUGCGGGCAGAUCUGGCCUGCAGACACGUUUUGUUUGGCUUGAAGUGAUUUAAAUAAAUUUGAGCCGAUGUUGAAAAUCCAGCACAUUUCACAUGAAAAUCCAGCCUUCCAGCUUCCCUUGAGAAGAGGAAGUUGCAGCCACGUUUACGGCCCAUGUCCCCGCAUGGCUGGAGGAGAACGCGGCUCCCUCUCUUGCUGAUGUGAUCCUGGGGUCACCUGAGACCCCACUGCUCGCUCCUGCCUCCCCACCCCAGGCCCUUGCCACUUGUGGGCUUUCCUGUUCUCCUUGGAGAGGUUGCUGUGGGUUACACCUAGACUCCCCAAAGCCUCUGGGCUUCAGGCUGACUCGCUGUUAGGAGGUGGGGCCUGGUAGGAGGAGGAGGAGGUCACUGGGGGCAUGGGCUGGGCUCCUCCCUUGACUCUGCUUCCUGUCCACUGUGUCCUGAGCAGCUCUCUUCCACCAGGCUCCUCUGCCAUGCCAUCCUGCCUUGGAGCCAGCGGACCAUGGACUCAAACGUGAGCCAAAGUGAAACUGUCUAAGUUGUGGGUGUCAGGUAUUGUGUCCCAGUGACGAGAAAGUGGGUAACAAAGGUGAACUCUUUCUGACCACUGUUUAGUUAAGCGAGGAUUUGUUUUCACUAGAGCCAGCAGCCUGGGCUCAUCAGCAUUUCCAGGCACAUCUCUUGGUCCAGGGAUGCCUGUCCAGUAUGACAGCCACUGGCCCAAGUUACUAUUUAUGCUUGAAUUCAUUAAAGUUUGACACUGCCAUUCUUUUUUGUUUGUUUGCUUUGGUACUGGGGAAUCGAACUCAGGUCCUUGCACUUGUGCAGCAAGCAGUGAAACCACUGAGCCAAAUCCCCAGCCCGACACUGCCGUUCCUGG